AGAGUUUGAUCCUGGCUCAGAACGAACGCUGGCGGCAGGCUUAACACAUGCAAGUCGAACGCUCGUAGCAAUACGGGAGUGGCAGACGGGUGAGUAACGCGUGGGAACAUACCCUCCGGUUCGGAAUAGCUCAGGGAAACUUGGAUUAAUACCGGAUACGGCUGAGAGGCGAAAGAUUUAUCGCCGGAGGAUUGGCCCGCGUUCGAUUAGCUAGUUGGUGAGGUAACGGCUCACCAAGGCGAUGAUCGAUAGCUGGUCUGAGAGGAUGAUCAGCCACAUUGGGACUGAGACACGGCCCAAACUCCUACGGGAGGCAGCAGUGGGGAAUAUUGGACAAUGGGCGCAAGCCUGAUCCAGUCAUGCCGCGUGAGUGAUGACGGCCUUAGGGUUGUAAAGCUCUUUCGCUCGGGACGAUAAUGACGGUACCGAGAUAAGAAGCCCCGGCUAACUUCGUGCCAGCAGCCGCGGUAAUACGAAGGGGGCUAGCGUUGUUCGGAAUUACUGGGCGUAAAGCGCGUGUAGGCGGGUCUUUAAGUCAGGGGUGAAAUGCCAAGGCUCAACCUUGGAACUGCCUUUGAUACUGGAGACCUUGAGUCCGGGAGAGGUGAGUGGAAUUGCGAGUGUAGAGGUGAAAUUCGUAGAUAUUCGCAAGAACACCAGUGGCGAAGGCGGCUCACUGGCCCGGAACUGACGCUGAGACGCGAAAGCGUGGGGAGCAAACAGGAUUAGAUACCCUAGUAGUCC
rnacentral:rRNA from 1 species